AACGACUCUCGACAACGGAUAUCUCGGCUCUCGCAUCGAUGAARAACGUAGCGAAAUGCGAUACUUGGUGUGAAUUGCAGAAUCCCGUGAACCAUCGAGUCUUUGAACGCAAGUUGCGCCCGAAGCCAUUAGGCUAAGGGCACGUCUGCCUGGGUGUCACGC
rnacentral:rRNA from 1 species